GACGAACGCUGGUGGCGUGCUUAACACAUGCAAGUCGAACGGGAUUUAGUAAACAGAAGCCUCGGUGGAAGAUUACUAAUGAGAGUGGCGAACGGGUGAGUAACGCGUGAGCAACCUGCCUAUGACAGUGGGAUAGCCUCGGGAAACCGGGAUUAAUACCGCAUCAAAUCGUAGAAACACAUGUUUUAACGGUCAAAGAUUUAUCGGUCAUAGAUGGGCUCGCGUCUGAUUAGCUAGUUGGUGAGAUAACAGCCCACCAAGGCGACGAUCAGUAGCCGGUCUGAGAGGAUGAACGGCCACAUUGGAACUGAGACACGGUCCAAACUCCUACGGGAGGCAGCAGUGGAGAAUAUUGCACAAUGGGGGAAACCCUGAUGCAGCGACGCCGCGUGAACGAAGAAGGUAUUCGUAUCGUAAAGUUCUGUCCUAUGGGAAGAUAAUGACAGUACCAUAGAAGAAAGCUCCGGCUAAAUACGUG
rnacentral:rRNA from 1 species